GACGAACGCUGGCGGCGUGCUUAACACAUGCAAGUCGAACGGUGAAGCGCCUUCCUUUUUGGUGGGUGUGGAUGAGUGGCGAACGGGUGAGUAACACGUGAGUAACCUGCCCCCUUCUUCUGGAUAACCGCAUGAAAGUGUGGCUAAUACGGGAUAUUCUGGGUCUGUCGCAUUAUGGGUCUGGGAAAGAUAUUGUUUCGGUGGGGGAUGGGCUCGCGGCCUAUCAGCUUGUUGGUGGGGUGAUGGCCUACCAAGGCGGUGACGGGUAGCCGGCCUGAGAGGGUGGACGGUCACACUGGGACUGAGACACGGCCCAGACUCCUACGGGAGGCAGCAGUGGGGAAUAGUGCACAAUGGGCGAAAGCCUGAUGCAGCGACGCCGCGUGAGGGAUGGAGGCCUUCGGGUUGUGAACCUCUUUCGCCAGUGAAGCAGGCCUGCCUCGUUUGUGGGUGGGUUGACGGUAGCUGGAUAAGAAGCGCCGGCUAACUACGUG
rnacentral:rRNA from 1 species